UCAAGUGACUAAGUGCAUGUGGCGGAUGCCUUGGCGAUCACAGGCGAAGAAAGACGCGGCAGCCUGCGAAAAGCUGCGGGGAGCUGGCAAACGAGCUUUGAUCCGCAGAUAUCUGAAUGGGGGAACCCACACCGCAAGGUGUAUCCGUGACUGAAUACAUAGGUUACGGAGGCGAACGAGGAGAACUGAAACAUCUAAGUAUCCUCAGGAAAAGAAAUCAACCGAGAUUCCGGCAGUAGCGGCGAGCGAACCCGGAGGAGCCUAGCUUUUGAUAGUACGAACUUUAGCCGAAAGGUCCUGGAAAGGCCUGCUAUAGUGGGUGAUAGCCCCGUAGGCGAAAGAGUUCGUAUGGUACUAAGGAAGCGAGAAGUAGAGCGGGACACGUGGAAUCCUGUUCGAAGAUGGGGGGACCAUCCUCCAAGGCUAAAUACUCGUGAUCGACCGAUAGUGAACCAGUACCGUGAGGGAAAGGCGAAAAGAACCCCGGGAGGGGAGUGAAAUAGAACCUGAAACCGCAUGCAUACAAACAGUAGGAGCCUCGUCAGAGGUGACUGCGUACCUUUUGCAUAAUGGGUCAGCGACUUACAUUCUGUGGCGAGCUUAACCGAAUAGGGGAGGCGCAGCGAAAGCGAGUUCGAAAUGAGCGUCCAGUCGCAGGGUGUAGACCCGAAACCAGAUGAGCUAUCCAUGGCCAGGUUGAAGGUGUGGUAACACACACUGGAGGACCGAACCGACUAGUGUUGCAAAAUUAGCGGAUGAGCUGUGGAUAGGGGUGAAAGGCCAAACAAAUCUGGAGAUAGCUGGUUCUCCCCGAAAACUAUUGAGGUAGUGCCUCGUGUGUCGCUCCAGGGGGUAGAGCACUGUUUUGGCUAGGGGGACAUGGAGUCUUACCAAACCAAGGCAAACUCCGAAUACCUGGAAGCGUAAGCACGGGAGACAGAGCACCGGGUGCUAACGUCCGGACUCAAAAGGGAAACAACCCAGACCGCCGGCUAAGGUCCCCAAUAACAGCUAAGUGGAAAACGAAGUGGAAAGGCCGUGACAACCAGGAAGUUGGCUUAGAAGCAGCCAUCCUUCAAAGAAAGCGUAAUAGCUCACUGGUCGAGUCCUUCUGCGCGGAAGAUGUAACGGGGCUAAGCUGUUAACCGAAGCCGCGGAUGCACUGAUUAUUCAGUGCGUGGUAGGGGAGCGUUCUGUAAGUCUGCGAAGGCGGUUCGAGAGGACUGCUGGAGAUAUCAGAAGUGCGAAUGCUGACAUGAGUAACGUUAAAGCAGGUGAAAAGCCUGCUCGCCGUAAGCCCAAGGAUUCCUGCUCUACGUUCAUCGGAGCAGGGUGAGUCGGCUCCUAAGGUCAGGCCGAAAGGCGUAGCCGAUGGGAAUCAGGUUAAUAUUCCUGAACCUGCGUCAGAUGCGAUGGGGGGACGGAGCAUGAAAGAUCAUCCGGGUGUUGGAUGUCCCGGUUGUUGAGCGUAGGAGGUCUGCAGGCAAAUCCGCAGACGCAUCUCCAAGGCAAAGACACGUGCCGCCACGGCGGCGAAGUGAUCGGAAGUGCUUCCAAGAAAAGCCUCUAAGCACCAGUCUGACGCGGACCGUACCGCAAACCGACACUGGUGGGCGAGCUGAAUAUGCUCAGGCGCUUGAGAGAACUCGGGAGAAGGAACUCGGCAAAUUGACACCGUAACUUCGGAAGAAGGUGUGCCGUAGUACCGUGAGAGGAGAGACACCUUGAGCGGGAAUCGGUCUCAGAGAAUAGGUGGCUGCGACUGUUUAUUAAAAACACAGCACUCUGCAAAGUCGAAAGACGACGUAUAGGGUGUGAUGCCUGCCCGGUGCUGGAAGAUUAAUUGAUGGGGUGAGAGCCCUUGAUCGAAGUCCCAGUAAACGGCGGCCGUAACUAUAACGGUCCUAAGGUAGCGAAAUUCCUUGUC
rnacentral:rRNA from 1 species